UCUGCUGUGAAAAACCACAUUGUAGCAGGAGUACGGUCAUGGAGACAGAGCUUUACAAAUCCUCUUUCUGAACUACCAGCCAUGUAUGUUUUCAUAUUACCAAAUGCACAGGUUUCCAGGAGCUUGCCUUUCUGCUCUCCCCUCCUGACAGGGGCCUAAGAGGCUGCCACUGGGGAUCACAUUUUGAUCACUGAAAAUUUGUGGCUUUGACUGAGCAGAAAUGAAAGUGUAUGGAAGCUAAUGGUACAGGCAAUGAGCCAUGCUAAAACAACUAAAAUGCCAUCCCACUGUUUUUAGGGUACAUGUAAGAAACAAUUUGGGUGCCAAGAAUUCUCUCUUCCUCAGAACACUGCUGAACAGACAAUAUUUGUGAAAGUGACGCCUGUACAGACUGCAUUCAUUUCCUCGGACUCCAUCUCCAGAAGCUUCACUCUGACCUCUACUUGCAUCAGACUGGGGCUGGGCUUUUUGUCAAGUAGUUAGAUUUGCUUUAAUAAAUAUUAGUCUUUGUACUGCCGCUAGGUUGAUGCUCUCCAUGAAAAAGGCUUUGUGAGAUUAUAAUAACCCCAAGAAUAGACAGAAAUAGAUUUCACAACAUAAAUUCUAACAUGUCCCCCCCUCAAAAUUAACACAGUGCCUGGGAAAGGGUUAGGAAAAUGGAAAUUUUACACAUGCAAAUCAAAGCUUUCGGGAAAAGUACAAAAGAAACCUGUCCCUUUUGAAGCUGAUCACAAGAAAUCUUCUGUCUAGGUGCUUUGUGCCUUGUUUGGGCUUGCAGUUUGUGCGUAUGUGAUAUGAGUCAGGAAAACUGCUCCUCUAUCCCAAAAGUUGCCAUGGUAAGUAUGAUAUGGGCCUUGCUCACUUUAGCAGCAUCGACUGCAUGUCAGGAAUCAGAAGAUUGAUCUUGUUUUGCUCUGGGUGAAGAGAAAAAAUACAGGUGAGCUUGGGAAAAAAGGGAGGAAAGAAAUGACUGACAGACAGUCGUUUCAGUCUGAGAUGGCCAGCAGAGAGAAACUUGAUUUCCAUCUACACAAACCAUUGCCCAAGCAUCAAAAGAACACAUGUGGAUAGGUCAGAGGGGGAGGAACAAAAUAAAUUCAAGUCAGCUCUUCAUUUUUGCAUAAAGUGAUUAUGACAAAGUACCUACUCACUAGGAAAGCUUGUUUUUCAUCACCAGUGGUUUCUGUGUCCUCUGAGUUGUAAGUAAACUCCCUGCUUGCUAUGGGGUAGUUUUUCCUUGAAAACGCAAUGAUUUCUCAAUAAAAUUCAGUGUCCUGUUGUGAGCA